rnacentral:rRNA from 2 species
CAUUAAGCWCUCCGCCUGGGGAGUACGGUCGCAAGACUGAAACUCAAARGAAUUGACGGGGGCCCGCACAAGCGGUGGAGCAUGUGGUUUAAUUCGAAGCAACGCGAAGAACCUUACCAGGUCUUGACAUCCUCUGACAACCCUAGAGAUAGGGCUUUCCCUUCGGGGACAGAGUGACAGGUGGUGCAUGGUUGUCGUCAGCUCGUGUCGUGAGAUGUUGGGUUAAGUCCCGCAACGAGCGCAACCCUUGAUCUUAGUUGCCAGCAUUYAGUUGGGCACUCUAAGGUGACUGCCGGUGACAAACCGGAGGAAGGUGGGGAUGACGUCAAAUCAUCAUGCCCCUUAUGACCUGGGCUACACACGUGCUACAAUGGACAGAACAAAGGGCUGCGAGACCGCAAGGUUUAGCCAAUCCCACAAAUCUGUUCUCAGUUCGGAUCGCAGUCUGCAACUCGACUGCGUGAAGCUGGAAUCGCUA